rnacentral:rRNA from 1 species
CAAUAGCGUAUAUUAAAGUUGUUGCGGUUAAGAAGCUCGUAGUUGGAUUUCUGCCGAGGACGACCGGUCCGCCCUCUGGGUGAGUAUCUGGCUCGGCCUGGGCAUCUUCUUGGAGAACGUAGCUGCACUUGACUGUGUGGUGCGGUAUCCAGGACUUUUACUUUGAGGAAAUUAGAGUGUUUCAAGCAGGCGUGUGCCUUGAAUACAUUAGCAUGGGAUAAUGAUGUAGGACAUGAUCUACCAGUGGACUUUGGAGUCGAUGUAAUGAUAGAGAGGAAUAGUUGGGGGGUUCUCGUAUCACCACUUCAGAGGUGAAAUUCUU